UACGGGGGGAGCAAGCGUUUGUUCGGAUUUACUGGGCGUAAAGGGCGCGUAGGCGGCCACCGCAAGUCGACUGUGAAAUCUCCGGGCUUAACCCGGAAAGGUCAGCCGAUACUGCGGGGCUAGAGUGCAGAAGGGGCAACUGGAAUUCUUGGUGUAGCGGUGAAAUGCGUAGAUAUCGAGAGGAACACCUGCGGCGAAGGCGGGUUGCUGGGCUGACACUGACGCUGAGGCGCGAAAGCUAGGGGAGCGAACGGG
rnacentral:rRNA from 1 species